UGAAAUAAAUAACUAUUGGUUAAAAUCAGUGGUUGUUUAGUCUGGCUGACAGUUGUAAAAAAUAAAACUGUCAGCCAACGUCA
rnacentral:sRNA from 17 species